GACAGAGGGUGCAAACGUUGUUCGGAAUUACUGGGCGUAAAGCGUGUGUAGGCGGCUAGGUAAGUCGGAUGUGGAAGCCCCGGGCUCAACUCGGGAAGUGCACUCGAUACUGCUUAGCUCGAGUACCGGAGAGGUUGGUGGAAUUCUCGGUGUAGAGGUGAAAUUCGUAGAUAUCGAGAGGAACACCGGUGGCGAAGGCGGCCAACUGGACGAGUACUGACGCUGAGACACGAAAGCGUGGGGAGCAAACAGG
rnacentral:rRNA from 1 species